GAGAAGGGGUGUGGUCUAAUGACAUCAACACCCUAUAUCAGGUGUGCAUAAUUAUUAGGCAACUUCCUUUCCUUUGGCAAAAUGGGUCAAAAGAAGGACUUGACAGGCUCCGAAAAGUCAAAAAUAGUGAGAUAUCUUGCAGAGGGAUGCAGCACUCUUAAAAUUGCAAAGCUUCUGAAGCGUGAUCAUCGAACAAUCAAG